rnacentral:lncRNA from 1 species
AACCAACUGAUGAAAUCAACCCGACAUGCAUCUGCAAAAAAAAACACCCACCGGCCCACCUCUCCCACUCCUCCCUAAAUCCCCUCCCAUCCACCUUCUUCCUCCCACGCCUCACCUACCCACCACCGAUGGUGCUCCGCCCAAUCGCCCCACCUUCAUCGUUAGGCCCCUCCCCGCCCGAGAGUGCCUAUCUAGACAGAGCACCCCGGCCCGCCCCGCCCCGCGCCGGCCGGGGAUCCACUACACCGCGCCACCAUCGAAGGCCCCAGAUCCACACCGCCACACUUCCAUUGGCCUCCCACCACCGCUUCGGUGACGGAGCCAUCCCGCUGCCUUCCCGUCUCGAGCUCCUCCCCACCUUCCCCUCCACCUCACCUCCCCGUCCUGAGCUCCAAGAUGACUAGAUCGAUGCCGGCCCACCGCCCAACAACCACCACCUCUGGUCCCUGAUCGGCCAUGGCAACCUCACUCCUACUCCUACUCAUGAGUGCCUCCAAUCCCCGAUCCGUCCUGCCCCCACACCAGACGCCUCCCCUCUACUAGAUCCAGGUGGAUCCGGCUCGCGCUGCGCCGCCCAAUUGACUGGCAUCGGGUCGGGCCCUAUGUCGCCGGGGGCUGCUGCGACGUGUAGAUCGAUAGUGUCUGGUUGCAGUUCAGUGGCAACCCACACAUCCCACUUCUCACCCAUCGCCGAUCCAUGGCGUCCCCAGCAAUCCCACCACCGCCCUGGCCCGAAUCCACUUCGCCAGCAACCCACUCAUCCACCGGAUCCAGUCGGGCUUCUCCUUCCUCUGAGCCGAGCACCCAUGGGCAGAGGACCCGCACAAGCUCCUCUCACAAAACAACGACCUCCAUGGGCUUGGAACCACCACCCCUCUCUUCCUACAGAACAUGUAGCUCGCCGACAUGUGAGCGUGCAGGUCCUAUCCCCCUUCCCUUCGAGUGAGCAGAGCAUGCAGUGAAGGCGAGCAUGGCACGCAGUGUAGGUCACCCUGCACGCAGGCACCCUCAACUGCAGCUCUCUUCCCACUCCUUGGUGUCAUAAUAUCAUCCGCGGUGGUCCGCUUGCCAACAGAGAAAAAAAAUCAAAUUUGGGAGUUCAGUUUGUUUUAUAAUAAUGUCCUAGGAAAAGGGAUGAUGCAGUUCGNUAAGACCCCACUAAGAGCAACCCCAAUGGGGCGACCCAUUUCCUCCGCCGCCGUCCGUUUGGGCCGGCGCGGACACAAAAGGCGGACCAACGCGUCGACCCAAACGGACGCGCGUCCGAUUUUCAUCCGCGGGCGACCCAUUCUUGACCCAUUUUUGAGCCGGAAUUGCGUCCACGCGGACACGCGACGGACGCACGCACGCUCGCCUUCUCCUCCCCCGGGCCCGCUGGUCGGUGGCACACUGGCCUCCCCCCAUCCAACCCUCGCCCUCCUCCUUCCUCGCCAACGCCGCCGCCCAUUUUUGUCGGCGACUCUGCUAGUUGUCAGCGCCUCCACAUCCGCCCAGCAACGCCGCCCACUCCCACGUCGCCCGCCGUCGUUGUCUUGCCGAUGGGGACCGACUACUUCCCACACCCACGCCCCUCCACCACACAGCCCGCCCCGACAAAGAAGUCGCCUCGUCGCCCAGCUAGAUCCUCACCGGCACACUCGUCGGACACCGGCCCACUCGUCGGACGCCGGCAGGGCAGCUAGCUGGUCCGUGCACGCCGCGACUCCCUUCGCCGGCCGUCUCCUUCGUCGACGCCCGCAAGCUAUUCGACAGUUUGCCAAGGUACAAAAUGGACUCCGUCGAGGAGUUCUUUUUUCACAAUUUCCUUUGCGACUCUGACGAUUCGUCGUCCAAUGACGAGGAGGAGAUAUUGGUUGCCGUGUUGGUCCAGCACCACCUCAACAGUGAGCGGCCGUUGUUCCGUGGCUCCAUUCCGGGCCACCUUUCGGCAUUGAAUCGCAACCGAGAGAGCGGACAUUUCUUUCUUUGGAAGGACUACUUUGAUACAACAAACCCGUUGUUCAAACAUCAAAAAUUCCGUCGCCGUUUCCGUAUGAGUAGGCAUCUUUUCAACCGUAUUAGAGAGGGGCUGGUCAGCUAUGAUGACUAUUUCGAGUGCAAAGAGGAUGUCGUUGGCAAGAUAUUUUUUUCCUCUUAUCAGAAAUGCACUGCCGCCAUCUGAAUGCUUGCAUACGGAGUGCCCGGUGAUCUCAUUGACGAGAACGUCCGUAUGAGCGAGUCUACUUGCCUAGAGUCCCUGUAUAAGUUCUGCAAGGCUGUUAUUGUUGUGUUUGGCCCUGAGUACUUGAGAGAGCCGAUUGUUGAAGAUACAACCCAUUUGUUGGCGAUGAAUGUGAGCAAGGGCUUCCCAGGGAUGCUUGGUAGCAUAGACUGCAUGCACUGGGAGUGGAAGAACUGCCCUUCUGCUUAGCAAGGGCAGUAUAUGGGCCAUAUCAGUGCUUGCACUGUCAUACUAGAGGUCGUGUCGUCUGAAGAUCUCUGGAUCUGGCACUCUUUCUUUGGCAUGGUCGGAUCACACAAUGAUAUCAACGUGCUUCAGCGCUCGCCAGUGUUUGCUAGGCUUGCCGAAGGCAACAGUCCACCGGUGAACUUUAUUGUCAACGGCCACAAUUACAACAAAGGAUACUACUUGGGUGACGGUAUCUAUCCUCAGUGGACCACUAUUGUCAAGACAAUACCCAACCCUGUCGGAGAGAAGAGGAAAAGAUUUUCCCAAGAGCAAGAGAGUGCUAGGAAGGAUGUUGAGCGUGCCUUUGGUGUUUUGCAAUCUUGAUGGGGCACCAUUCGGUAUCCUGCUAAUACCUGGAGCACGUAAAAACUGUGGGAGGUGAUGACUACUUGUGUGAUCAUGCAUAAUAUGAUCAUAGAAGACGAGCGCCCGGAACGUCUGUACGAUCAAGGGUUUCAGUUUCAGGGUGAGAAUGUUGUGUCUGAGCAUGGAGGAGCGGCAACGUUUGAACAGUUCACCCAAUUUCAUCAAGACAUUUGUGAUUGGGAAACUCAAGUGCAACUGCAAAAUGAUUUGGUUGAGCAUAUGUGGGCUCAUGUUGGCAACCAAUAGAUUUAUCUUCUUUUAUUCGUUUGCAAAAAUAUGUGAGAACUAUGUUAUUUCUAUUCGGCUUGUAAUAACUAUGCUAUUUUAUCCGGUUCAAAUUAUGUUAUUUGAUUCAAACUAUGUAAAUUCAUGCAAAAUAGGGCGGCCACGCCGGCACAUAUGAGUCGACACAUUGGGCGCGCUGUCGGCACAUAUCUAAAACAAGACGGACGCUGAGAGAGCGACCGACCCAAACGAACAAAAAACGGACAAAAUCGUCGUUCAUUUUGGUCGACCCAUUGGGGUUGCUCUAACCAACUGAUGAAAUCAACCCGACAUGCAUCUGCAAAAAAAAACACCCACCGGCCCACCUCUCCCACUCCUCCCUAAAUCCCCUCCCAUCCACCUUCUUCCUCCCACGCCUCACCUACCCACCACCGAUGGUGCUCCGCCCAAUCGCCCCACCUUCAUCGUUAGGCCCCUCCCCGCCCGAGAGUGCCUAUCUAGACAGAGCACCCCGGCCCGCCCCGCCCCGCGCCGGCCGGGGAUCCACUACACCGCGCCACCAUCGAAGGCCCCAGAUCCACACCGCCACACUUCCAUUGGCCUCCCACCACCGCUUCGGUGACGGAGCCAUCCCGCUGCCUUCCCGUCUCGAGCUCCUCCCCACCUUCCCCUCCACCUCACCUCCCCGUCCUGAGCUCCAAGAUGACUAGAUCGAUGCCGGCCCACCGCCCAACAACCACCACCUCUGGUCCCUGAUCGGCCAUGGCAACCUCACUCCUACUCCUACUCAUGAGUGCCUCCAAUCCCCGAUCCGUCCUGCCCCCACACCAGACGCCUCCCCUCUACUAGAUCCAGGUGGAUCCGGCUCGCGCUGCGCCGCCCAAUUGACUGGCAUCGGGUCGGGCCCUAUGUCGCCGGGGGCUGCUGCGACGUGUAGAUCGAUAGUGUCUGGUUGCAGUUCAGUGGCAACCCACACAUCCCACUUCUCACCCAUCGCCGAUCCAUGGCGUCCCCAGCAAUCCCACCACCGCCCUGGCCCGAAUCCACUUCGCCAGCAACCCACUCAUCCACCGGAUCCAGUCGGGCUUCUCCUUCCUCUGAGCCGAGCACCCAUGGGCAGAGGACCCGCACAAGCUCCUCUCACAAAACAACGACCUCCAUGGGCUUGGAACCACCACCCCUCUCUUCCUACAGAACAUGUAGCUCGCCGACAUGUGAGCGUGCAGGUCCUAUCCCCCUUCCCUUCGAGUGAGCAGAGCAUGCAGUGAAGGCGAGCAUGGCACGCAGUGUAGGUCACCCUGCACGCAGGCACCCUCAACUGCAGCUCUCUUCCCACUCCUUGGUGUCAUAAUAUCAUCCGCGGUGGUCCGCUUGCCAACAGAGAAAAAAAAUCAAAUUUGGGAGUUCAGUUUGUUUUAUAAUAAUGUCCUAGGAAAAGGGAUGAUGCAGUUCGCUAGCCGAUGGCAUGUGGUUCACGAUUGUAUUUUAUUUUUGUGGUUGUUUUCUACAUAAAUGUUGAGUACAUGAUGAAGCUCACAUUAAAAAUCUUUGUGGUUCAUCUUGUAAAAACAUAAAAACUGUGAUGUACACUAGCCUUGAGUGUGUCUUCAUUUCGAAAGCAGUGCAUUGUUAUGUCCAAUGCAAUUUUUUCAUUGAUUUCGGUCUCACGGAAAACAGAGUGUGCGCAUUUUAGCAAAAUCAAAACUGCUCACAAACCGUAAGGAACUAGAGAGAGUGUUCUACAUGGAAGAAUGUGCCUCGUUGAUAUCUUUGCAACGCCGUAUCAUUUACUUUGUUUCGACGAGCGGUUGAAAAAAUUACGAAAAUACGCUCGCUGCAACUCGUAAGUAGCCACGAUGUUUUCAAAAUUUAUUUUAAACUGUGAGAAAUCUCAACAAAUGAUCAAUGUAUGAAAGGUGAGCCUAUUCCGCAGAUUUUCAACGCUCUAUCAUACGCCUCGUUCCGACGAGCAGUUUAAAAACUACAGCGAAAACAGUCC